rnacentral:pre_miRNA from 1 species
UCUUCAUUUCGUAUACUCUCUCACCGGUCAGUGAGACGAGAGAGUAGGCGAAAUGAAGAGA